rnacentral:lncRNA from 10 species
UGAAGGAGUCUGUUAAGCCAAAUAACUAACACAGAAUAUGUCGCCACCCAGUGGACACUUGAAAAAUAGCAAGUGAACGGAUCAGUGCACACUUCUGCAAUAUGCUUCAGGAUAAUGGGAAGUCUUAACAUUAAGAACAGGUUCCAUUGGAAGAGAAUAAAAAGAGGGGGCUGAGCUAGUAAAGGGAUUUCAAGGACCAUGUGGAACUGAAGCUAGAGGUCAAGUGGCAGAAAAGAAAACAGCAUUUUUAAAAAGGGUGGGAUGGGAAGCUAUUAGAGGAUUUCAGGAGGACUUGGUGCAGUUGGAUUAUGAUUUGGAAGGCCCACUCCAGCUACUAUGUGAAAACUGAUAGCAGUGGAACAACAGUGAAAGCAAGAGGACCCGUUAGAAAGUUAGUACAAGACGUCAGGCAGAGUGGUGUCUGUCAGACACUUGGAAAAUAUGCCAUAUUCAUGGAUGGAAUGAUGGCUCUAUGGACUAAUGACUACAAAGAACAUACAAUGAAAACAUGCCAAAGAAAAUCACAGAACAGAGGAGAAAAUUUGAGGAGGAAACUGAAAAAAUGGAGAUGUAGC